CAGGCAUCAAAGGGAUCAAAACACCUCUGUCGCAAUAGGAUUAAACUUCUUUGGAGCCGUGUUGAAGAUUAUUUCAACCCCUAGACUGAUCUCGAGGACAAAAGGUAUACCUAUGUUUAGCGGCAUAUAUGCAGUAUUGGAGAUAGCCUUUGCCGUUGUGAUGGGGUUUUAUCACUUUGAUAUAUACGAUGAAGUAAAUAGAUGGUAGGAAUAAGAAGACAGGAACAAAAAUCAGCUUUAAUAAUUUGACAAUAUACAAUGAACAUAGCACUCUAGAAUGUUAAAUCUUUCUAUUUAAAAAUGUUUAAAUGAUACAGCAUAGAAACAACCCUGUAAAAGUGACGCAAAUCUCUGCGAAAACUAUCAUCAAAACAAUAUAAUCGGAAAUAUUUUCUUGAAAGACUUUACACCUAAAAGAAAAACACAUUAAUUAUUUUUCUCAACGAACACCUUCGAUAUGGGAAGACAAAUAAAAUAAAAAAGGUU